rnacentral:tRNA from 1 species
GCCUUCGUGGUAUAGUCGUUAGCACACUCGGCUCGUAUCGAGAGGUCCAGGUUCGAGUCCCGGAGAGGGCA